ACUUCCCAGGCCGGAACGAAAAGGAAUUGGGUAUCGAAGAUACCGAUGAACUUUUGGCUUUGUGGUGGUGAUGUUGUGUUUGCAGAUUGUCCGGCAAUGCGGACAUGGUAGCUAAGCUACUGUUUUUUCACUUCCUGUACAUUUAUCCUGUCUGUCCAUAGUGAUUUUAUGCAGCACUGCAAAUUUUGCAGUGCUUUUUUUU
rnacentral:other from 1 species